GGCACUCGCGGCGGCGCCUCCCCCGCGGGCGGAAGUGGCCGUGAGGGGCCGUGAGGGGCCCGCGCGGUCCUGGGGCCCCCCGAGCCCCUCAGAGCCCCCGGGAUUCCCGCUCGCCCGCCUCUCGUCCUUCUUCAGCCGAGCUGGGCGGGAAGAAGCAAGGGAAAGAACGAGCUCGAAACGUAUUGAGUUGCAUCUUGAGAUGUUUUGCCACCACUAUUCCCACUGCGAAGCCGUUCCCAGAACGGCUCCUGAAAACCUUCUCCUGGUUUUCAGGCCAGUCCAUUUCACUGGAGCUGUGAAUGGAAAGCCCACCUGAACGUUGGGAAGGAAUCCCAAAUUCAGUCACAAUCCUGAUCACAAUCCCUCAAUAUUUGGCUAAACAGGAGCCCAUUCCAAUCCACACCCUCUGCAUCGCCACGACCCUGGCUGGCUUCUGAAACACUGCACUUCCCCACAUCUUUAAAAGGUAUUUUUCCACGGGAGUUUUUUCAGAGGUUGCCACCACAGCAGUGAUAAAACGAGUGGGAAGAAAACCAGAAGGGUCCCAAGUAUUUUCCUCCAGGAAUGAACGAACACAAUGGUGAACAUGAACUGAAAAACAAAAACCUCUAGAAGAUUAUAAUCUUUUUUACCAUCAAAGCCUGCAGGAGCAGCAUGAAAGGGAGGACUUGCCUGAUCAAAUCAAAAUAAUUUCUUCCUUGAAGAAAUUCCUGCUGAUGUCCCACCUGAACCUCCCCUGGCACAGCCUGAGGCCAUUUCCUCUUGUCCUGUUGCUGGAAAAUCUUGGCUCUAGAGCACAAGGGCUGAAGAGAAAUUGCCAAAACUUUGAGUUAAUUACGGCUAUUAGACAAUAAAUGUUGUAAUUUUCACCUUU